rnacentral:pre_miRNA from 1 species
AGGAGGAACAACCACAGUGGCGGGGCCAGCUCUGGAGCCCUGGAUUCAGCUCCCACAGUAACUUAGGAGUCUCAGCCUGCAGGGUCUGGAAGUUCCGGGGGCGG